rnacentral:lncRNA from 1 species
ACAUAGACCGGCCAGCUGAGUCUUCUUCAGGGGAAUCCGAGCUAGGGUCGGAGGAAGAUGACCCUGAUUCUGAGAAAGAAAUCCUCCACCCUGGGUCAGAAGUUGCCCCUACUAUUAAUGUUGAGAGCUCUGGCCCAAGGGACACCGAGCUUCCUUCAGAGGUGGCUGUAAAUAGAGAUAAUGCAGGCGAGGGUGUUCUUACUGAUGUAAGUCCUUUAAGGACUAUUUAUCCUCCUGCCUCGCCGGAGAGAUAAAUUGUAAUAGUCAUUAAUGAAAUAUCAGUUUCCUUCUUUUUUAUUCUUGUUUUUCAUAUUUCUUGAAAUUUAUCUCUACUCUUCGUAUUUGUGAUGUAAACUACAUAUUUUCAUUCAUAAGCUCUGAAUUAAUCUUAAGGUGCGAGCUCGUAGCUGAUAGUCUGAGAGAUCAAAUCUCGUACCUUUUUAAUGGCGACUAUCAUGUCUUUCGUGGUUGUGACUUUGCAUAUUUGUGCCAGAUAAACUGAUUUAGGCUUUGAUUAUAGCCUUUUUAUCCUCCUAAGGAUUUCUUCAUUUAUGAGUCCUUUUGGAGAGAGCUCGGCCUCUUUUAUUGGCCUUUUAUACUUUCAGCUUUUGAGGAUGUAAGUCUAUCCGUGCUGGGAGCUCGGUCUCUUGCUUUGUAGCUAAACUUUUAUUGUUAGCAUCUAAUUCGAGAUCGGUGCUUUUUUAGCUAUUAGGCCUGACUAUCCGAGCUGGAAGUUCGGCCUCUUCCUUCGUACCUUGAGUUUUGAGAGGAUAAGUCUAUCCGAGCUAGGAGCUCGGUCUUUUUUUUUUUU